AUUGAACGCUGGCGGCAGGCCUAACACAUGCAAGUCGAACGAGUGGCGGACGGGUGAGUAAUGUCUGGGAAACUGCCUGGUGGAGGGGGAUAAGUACUGGAAACGGUAGCUAAUACCGCAUACCAUCAGAUGUGCCCAGAUGGGCUUAGCUUGUUGGUGGGGUAACGGCUCACAAAGGCGACGAUCCCUAGCUGGUCUGAGAGGAUGACCAGCCACACUGGAACGUAGCCACGGUCCAGACUCCUACGGGAGGCAGCAUUGGGGAAUAUUGCCCAAUGGCCGCAAGCCUGCUGCAGCCAUGCCUCGUGUAUGAAGCAGGCCUUCGGGUUGAAAAGUACUUUCAUCGGGGAGGCGUUACCCGCAGAAGAAGCACCGGCUAACUCCGUGCCAGCAGCCGCGGUAAUUC
rnacentral:rRNA from 1 species